AGCUGUCCUAUAAAUGAAUUAAUAAAUAAGUAAGAAAAUAGAAAUCUAGGAUAUUAGUGCUAAUGAGAAAGCAGGUCAAAAAGGCAAUUGAAAUUAAGACUAUAUCAGUGUUAUAUACUAGUAUAAAUAAACUAGACCUUCAAUAAUUUUCUUUUUAACUUUUUCUUCUGUUUUCAAAGAAUCUCCAUACAUAACCCAAUAGGCUUCACCAUAGACAAUCAAACUUGAAAUGACCUUCCUGCCUCAGGCUCCCAAGUAUAGGGAUUACAGAUGAUUCCCUCCAUACCCUCCUCCUUUUCGUAAGUUUUCAAUUAUGAAGAUUUCUUCCUUCCAGAAACAGGUUUCUAAGGGGCAGCUAUAAAGUUGUUUUCCUGAGGAUACCUACAAGACUGCUUACUAAAAGAUGCCCCCAGUUCCCAGAGGACUGACUACAAGGUUAAUACAGAAGCGACCAUCACUCAGUAUUUGAAGUUCCUGAGCCCAUACAUCAACUGAAGGAAGCAUGUGAAGGAUGCUAAUGAGAAACAUACAGCCAUCACAGGCCUCUAAAACAUUCCUGAGCACCCGACUAGAGGGGUAAGACUGAGCUCCAGAAUGACUUUGUCUCCUAUCCAGCCCUGCUUCUCCCAGUAUCAUCUGCUGCAUGAUGAGGAGAUGCAAACACACUUUUGAGGACGUUAAUCUACUGUUGUCUCAGAUUGUCAGCUCUCUGAAUAAAGCACAGAGAUUCAA